CUACGGGUUGCUGCAGUGGGGAAUAUUGCACAAUGGAGGAAACUCUGAUGCAGCAACGCCGCGUGGAGGAUGACACUUUUCGGAGCGUAAACUCCUUUUAUAUAGGAAGAAGAUGACGGUACUAUAUGAAUAAGCGCCGGCUAACUCCGUGCCAGCAGCCACGGUAAUACGGAGGGCGCAAGCGUUACUCGGAAUCACUGGGCGUAAAGAGCGUGUAGGCGGAUUAAAAAGUCAGAAGUGAAAUCUUAUAGCUUAACUAUAGAACUGCUUCUGAAACUCUUAAUCUAGAAUAUGGGAGAGGUAGAUGGAAUUUCUGGUGUAGGGGUAAAAUCCGUAGAGAUCAGAAGGAAUACCGAUUGCGAAGGCGAUCUACUAGAACAUUAUUGACGCUGAGACGCGAAAGCGUGGGGAGCAAACAGGAUUAGAUACCCUUGUAGUC
rnacentral:rRNA from 1 species